rnacentral:rRNA from 1 species
GAUGAACGCUGGCGGCGUGCCUAAUACAUGCAAGUCGAGCGAACGGACGAGAAGCUUGCUUCUCUGAUGUUAGCGGCGGACGGGUGAGUAACACGUGGAUAACCUACCUAUAAGACUGGGAUAACUUCGGGAAACCGGAGCUAAUACCGGAUAAUAUUUUGAACCGCAUGGUUCAAAAGUGAAAGACGGUCUUGCUGUCACUUAUAGAUGGAUCCGCGCUGCAUUAGCUAGUUGGUAAGGUAACGGCUUACCAAGGCAACGAUGCAUAGCCGACCUGAGAGGGUGAUCGGCCACACUGGAACUGAGACACGGUCCAGACUCCUACGGGAGGCAGCAGUAGGGAAUCUUCCGCAAUGGGCGAAAGCCUGACGGAGCAACGCCGCGUGAGUGAUGAAGGUCUUCGGAUCGUAAAACUCUGUUAUUAGGGAAGAACAUAUGUGUAAGUAACUGUGCACAUCUUGACGGUACCUAAUCAGAAAGCCACGGCUAACUACGUGCCAGCAGCCGCGGUAAUACGUAGGUGGCAAGCGUUAUCCGGAAUUAUUGGGCGUAAAGCGCGCGUAGGCGGUUUUUUAAGUCUGAUGUGAAAGCCCACGGCUCAACCGUGGAGGGUCAUUGGAAACUGGAAAACUUGAGUGCAGAAGAGGAAAGUGGAAUUCCAUGUGUAGCGGUGAAAUGCGCAGAGAUAUGGAGGAACACCAGUGGCGAAGGCGACUUUCUGGUCUGUAACUGACGCUGAUGUGCGAAAGCGUGGGGAUCAAACAGGAUUAGAUACCCUGGUAGUCCACGCCGUAAACGAUGAGUGCUAAGUGUUAGGGGGUUUCCGCCCCUUAGUGCUGCAGCUAACGCAUUAAGCACUCCGCCUGGGGAGUACGACCGCAAGGUUGAAACUCAAAGGAAUUGACGGGGACCUGCACAAGCGGUGGAGCAUGUGGUUUAAUUCGAAGCAACGCGAAGAACCUUACCAAAUCUUGACAUCCUUUGACAACUCUAGAGAUAGAGCCUUCCCCUUCGGGGGACAAAGUGACAGGUGGUGCAUGGUUGUCGUCAGCUCGUGUCGUGAGAUGUUGGGUUAAGUCCCGCAACGAGCGCAACCCUUAAGCUUAGUUGCCAUCAUUAAGUUGGGCACUCUAAGUUGACUGCCGGUGACAAACCGGAGGAAGGUGGGGAUGACGUCAAAUCAUCAUGCCCCUUAUGAUUUGGGCUACACACGUGCUACAAUGGACAAUACAAAGGGCAGCGAAACCGCGAGGUCAAGCAAAUCCCAUAAAGUUGUUCUCAGUUCGGAUUGUAGUCUGCAACUCGACUACAUGAAGCUGGAAUCGCUAGUAAUCGUAGAUCAGCAUGCUACGGUGAAUACGUUCCCGGGUCU